UACGGAGGAUGCGAGCGUUAUCCGGAUUUAUUGGGUUUAAAGGGUGCGUAGGCGGUCCGGAAAGUCAGCGGUAAAAGCCCGGGGCUCAACCCCGGCGAGCCGUUGAAACUGUCGGACUAGAGACGGCGAGAAGUACGCGGAAUGCGCGGUGUAGCGGUGAAAUGCAUAGAUAUCGCGCAGAACUCCGAUUGCGAAGGCAGCGUACCGGCGCCGGACUGACGCUGAGGCACGAAAGCGUGGGUAUCGAA
rnacentral:rRNA from 1 species